rnacentral:rRNA from 1 species
UACGUAGGGCGCAAGCGUUGUCCGGAAUUAUUGGGCGUAAAGAGCUCGUAGGCGGUUUGGCGCGUCUGCCGUGAAAACCCGAGGCUUAACCUCGUGGCUUGCGGUGGAUACGGGCAGACUAGAGGUAGGUAGGGGAGAAUGGAAUUCCCGGUGUAGCGGUGAAAUGCGCAGAUAUCGGGAGGAACACCGGUGGCGAAGGCGGUUCUCUGGGCCUUACCUGACGCUGAGGAGCGAAAGCGUGGGGAGCGAACAGG